UACAGAGGUCUCGAGCGUUGUUCGGAAUUACUGGGUGUAAAGGGUUCGUAGGCGGUGUGGCAAGUUGGGAGUGAAAUCUCUGGGCUCAACCCAGAGGCUGCUUCCAAAACUGCUGUGCUUGAGUGUGAGAGAGGCUCGUGGAAUUGCAGGUGUAGCGGUGAAAUGCGUAGAUAUCUGCAGGAACACCCGUGGCGAAAGCGGCGAGCUGGAUCACUACUGACGCUGAGGAACGAAAGCUAGGGGAGCAAACAGG
rnacentral:rRNA from 1 species